GACAGAGGGUGCAAACGUUGUUCGGAAUUACUGGGCGUAAAGCGCGUGUAGGCGGCCCUGCAAGUCGGAUGUGAAAUCCCACGGCUCAACCGUGGAAGUGCAUUCGAAACUGCAGGGCUAGAGUCUUGGAGAGGAAGGUGGAAUGCUUGGUGUAGAGGUGAAAUUCGUAGAUAUCAAGCGGAACACCGGUGGCGAAGGCGGCCUUCUGGACAGUGACUGACGCUGAGACGCGAAAGCGUGGGGAGCAAACAGGG
rnacentral:rRNA from 1 species